rnacentral:rRNA from 1 species
GAUGAACGCUAGCGGCAGGCUUAAUACAUGCAAGUCGAGGGACAGCACAGGUAGCAAUACUGGGUGGUAACCGGCAAACGGGUGCGGAACACGUACACAACCUUCCUUUAAGUGGGGGAUAGCCCAGAGAAAUUUGGAUUAAUACCCCGUAAUAUAGUUGAAUGGCAUCAUUUGAUUAUUAUAGCUACGGCGCUUAAUGAUGGGUGUGCGGCUGAUUAGAUAGUUGGCGGGGUAACGGCCCACCAAGUCUGCGAUCAGUAGCUGAUGUGAGAGCAUGAUCAGCCACACGGGCACUGAGACACGGGCCCGACUCCUACGGGAGGCAGCAGUAAGGAAUAUUGGUCAAUGGACGCAAGUCUGAACCAGCCAUGCCGCGUGAAGGAUUAAGGUCCUCUGGAUUGUAAACUUCUUUUAUUUGGGACGAAAAAGGGCCUUUCUAGGUCAACUAACGGUACCAGAUGAAUAAGCACCGGCUAACUCCGUGCCAGCCGCCGCCGUAAAAC